AACGAACGCUGGCGGCAUGCCUAACACAUGCAAGUCGAACGAGACCUUCGGGUCUAGUGGCGCACGGGUGCGUAACGCGUGGGAAUCUGCCCUUGGGUUCGGAAUAACAGUUAGAAAUGACUGCUAAUACCGGAUGAUGUCUUCGGACCAAAGAUUUAUCGCCCAGGGGUGAGCCCGCGUAGGAUUAGCUAGUUGGUGGGGUAAAGGCCUACCAAGGCGACGAUCCUUAGCUGGUCUGAGAGGAUGAUCAGCCACACUGGGACUGAGACACGGCCCAGACUCCUACGGGAGGCAGCAGUGGGGAAUAUUGGACAAUGGGCGAAAGCCUGAUCCAGCAAUGCCGCGUGAGUGAUGAAGGCCUUAGGGUUGUAAAGCUCUUUACCCGGAUGAUAAUGACAGUACCGGGAGAAUAAGCCCCGGACUAACUCCGUGCCAGCAGCCGCGGUAAU
rnacentral:rRNA from 1 species